rnacentral:rRNA from 1 species
CCCUUAGAUGUUCUGGGCGGCCCGCGCACUACAUUGGCACUAGCAAAGAGAUCCUAGAUUGAAUUCUUUGGGGUAUUCUUCUAAAUGGUGUCGUGACUGGGAUAAAUCCUUGUAAUUAUUGGUUUUGAGCGAGGAAUUCCUUGUAAUCGCGGUUUAUCAGCUCGCGUUGAAUGCGUCCCUGCCCUUUGUACACACCGCCCGUCGCUCCUACCGAUGGAUCGUCCGGUGAAGCUCACGGAGUGACUGUUCACGCAACGGUUUACGAAGUGAAAUGGACCUCACGAUUUAGAGGAAGGAGAAGUCGUAACA